ACUUUCUCCUUUUCCCCAACAAACUAAAUGAACCCAAACUUAAAAACCCUAAUCACCGCCUCAACAUAGCCAGGGAGACCCGACAGUAAUGCCACCAUUUUUGGCAUAGUUACAUAUCAAUUUUGUAGUUCUAGACAUAGUUUCUUCAUUUCGGGCAAAUAAUAAAUGAUUCUUGUCUUCUCCUUCAGCCAAAAGUCAAAUGUUUUUGCGAGCAUUUGGUUCUAUUGGUUCAAAAUAGAACCUUAUCAUUGUCGAAAGUUCGGUGGUGAAAUCGAUCCUCGACGCUCGUCGCCUCAAGUUCGCUGCUCCGAAAAAGACUGUUUCAGGGGAUGGAUUGAAGCAUAUGUGGAAAUACACAGUGCCUAUCUGGAAGGUCUCCUCCCACUUCAUCCUGGGAUGGAGGUUGAGUCUUAGAAUGUACGGGAAAUCUGGAAUUACUUAGUCGCUCUUGUACUAGUCUAGACCAGGUCAUGGGAAAUUGUAUCAAGUCUGUAAUCACGUAUUGUUGUAAACAUAUAAACACUUGAGUUAAUUGAAUAUAUUAUGGAGUUCCGCUAUAUUUCUAACUAUGUAAUGCUUUAAAUGAUUUGUUGCUUAAUUGAGGUGUCAAUGAAUAAGAGGGUUCGCCUACCGAGGUGGGAAAGGUAGGUGCCCACAUGGUCCCGAAAUGGGUCGUGACAACAUCUCGGAAGGUUAUAUGGAUCUUGAAAUCCUUCUUUUCCUCCUUGUUACGGAUUUGGAAAGUUAUUGCAAGAUUGGAGCAGGUUGGAAUUGGUGUUGUUGUAGGUGAUUUGAGGUAAAAUUUCCUUUCUUUUUCAUGUAAUUGAAUGUACCCAAGUCAUAGCUAGGUUAUUAGAAGCAAAGUACGGGAAUUGUGGCGGAAAUCGUAUAAGUUGUUGUUGUUGUUGUGCGGAUUGAUUUGGAGUGUAUCCUUUAGUUGUUGUGGCUGAAUCCUUGAAAUAUAACUUGUGUAUGUUAAUUUUGAUGUUGUGGUUCUUGAUGU